rnacentral:rRNA from 1 species
UACGAAGGGGGCUAGCGUUGUUCGGAAUUACUGGGCGUAAAGCGCACGUAGGCGGAUCGAUCAGUCAGGGGUGAAAUCCCAGAGCUCAACUCUGGAACUGCCUUUGAUACUGUCGAUCUAGAGUAUGGAAGAGGUGAGUGGAAUUCCGAGUGUAGAGGUGAAAUUCGUAGAUAUUCGGAGGAACACCAGUGGCGAAGGCGGCUCGCUGGUCCAUUACUGACGCUGAGGUGCGAAAGCGUGGGGAGCAAACAGG